CCCCAACUUCCCNAAAACCCCUNGUGAACANACCCAUUCCUUUGGCUUCGGGCGGGAUCAACCCCGCCCCCCGUAAAAACGGGGAACGGGCCCGCCGCAANGGAACCCACAAAACCCUUGGAAUUUUUAUUGGUAACUUUCUGAAGUUUAAAAAAACAAAUAAAUCAAAACUUUCAACAACCGGGAUCUCUUGGGUUUCUGGGCAUCGAUGAAAAAAACCGCAGCAAAAAUGCCGAUAAAGUAAAUGUGAAAUUGCAAGAAAUUCAAGUGAAUCAUCCGAAUCUUUGAACGCACAUUGCGCCCGCCAGUAUUCUGGGCGGGGCAUGCCUUGUUCGAAGCCGUCAUUUCAACCCUCAAGCCCCCGGGUUUGGGUGUUGGGGAUCGGGCUUGCGGUUCUACCCGCGUCCCGGCCCCGAAAUCUAGUGGGCGGUCUCGCUUGCAAGCCUCCAUUGCGUAGUAGGGUAACACCUCGCAACUGGAACGCGGCGCGGGCCAAGCCGUUAAAACCCCCAACUUCUUGAAUGUUGACCUCGGAUCAAGGUAGGAAUACCCCGCUUGAACUUAAGCAUAUCAAUAAGCGGGAGGGAAAA
rnacentral:rRNA from 1 species